rnacentral:rRNA from 1 species
GGCAGCAUAGGUGCUUGCACCUGAUGGCGAGUGGCGAACGGGUGAGUAAUGCAUCGGAACGUGCCCAGUCGUGGGGGAUAACGCAGCGAAAGCUGUGCUAAUACCGCAUACGAUCUAUGGAUGAAAGCGGGGGACCUUCGGGCCUCGCGCGAUUGGAGCGGCCGAUGUUAGAUUAGGUAGUUGGUGAGGUAAAGGCUCACCAAGCCUACGAUCUAUAGCUGGUCUGAGAGGACGACCAGCCACACUGGAACUGAGACACGGUCCAGACUCCUACGGGAGGCAGCAGUGGGGAAUUUUGGACAAUGGGCGAAAGCCUGAUCCAGCAAUACCGCGUGCAGGAAGAAGGCCUUCGGGUUGUAAACUGCUUUUGUACGGAACGAAACGGUCUGGAUUAAUACUCUGGGCUAAUGACGGUACCGUAAGAAUAAGCACCGGCUAACUACGUGCCAGCAGCCGCGGUAAUACGUAGGGUGCAAGCGUUAAUCGGAAUUACUGGGCGUAAAGCGUGCGCAGGCGGUUUUGUAAGACAGGCGUGAAAUCCCCGGGCUCAACCUGGGAAUUGCGCUUGUGACUGCAAGGCUAGAGUACGGUAGAGGGGGGUAGAAUUCCGCGUGUAGCAGUGAAAUGCGUAGAUAUGCGGAGGAACACCGAUGGCGAAGGCAGCCCUCUGGACCUGUACUGACGCUCAUGCACGAAAGCGUGGGGAGCAAACAGGAUUAGAUACCCUGGUAGUCCACGCCCUAAACGAUGUCAACUGGUUGUUGGGAAUUUACUUUCUCAGUAACGAAGCUAACGCGUGAAGUUGACCGCCUGGGGAGUACGG